rnacentral:rRNA from 1 species
UACGUAGGGUGCGAGCGUUAAUCGGAAUUACUGGGCGUAAAGCGUGCGCAGGCGGUUUUGUAAGCCAGAUGUGAAAUCCCCGGGCUCAACCUGGGAAUGGCAUUUGGGACUGCAAGGCUGGAGUACGGCAGAGGAGACUGGAAUUCCUGGUGUAGCAGUGAAAUGCGUAGAUAUCAGGAGGAAUACCGAUGGCGAAGGCAGGUCUCUGGGCUGAUACUGACGUUCAUGCACGAAAGCGUGGGGAGCAAACAGG